AAAUUGAAGAGUUUGAUCAUGGCUCAGAUUGAACGCUGGCGGCAGGCCUAACACAUGCAAGUCGAGCGGUAGCACAGAGAGCUUGCUCUCGGGUGACGAGCGGCGGACGGGUGAGUAAUGUCUGGGAAACUGCCUGAUGGAGGGGGAUAACUACUGGAAACGGUAGCUAAUACCGCAUAACGUCGCAAGACCAAAGUGGGGGACCUUCGGGCCUCAUGCCAUCAGAUGUGCCCAGAUGGGAUUAGCUAGUAGGUGGGGUAAUGGCUCACCUAGGCGACGAUCCCUAGCUGGUCUGAGAGGAUGACCAGCCACACUGGAACUGAGACACGGUCCAGACUCCUACGGGAGGCAGCAGUGGGGAAUAUUGCACAAUGGGCGCAAGCCUGAUGCAGCCAUGCCGCGUGUAUGAAGAAGGCCUUCGGGUUGUAAAGUACUUUCAGCGAGGAGGAAGGCAUUAAGGUUAAUAACCUUGGUGAUUGACGUUACUCGCAGAAGAAGCACCGGCUAACUCCGUGCCAGCAGCCGCGGUAAUACGGAGGGUGCAAGCGUUAAUCGGAAUUACUGGGCGUAAAGCGCACGCAGGCGGUUUGUUAAGUCAGAUGUGAAAUCCCCGGGCUCAACCUGGGAACUGCAUUUGAAACUGGCAAGCUUGAGUCUUGUAGAGGGGGUAGAAUUCCAGGUGUAGCGGUGAAAUGCGUAGAGAUCUGGAGGAAUACCGGUGGCGAAGGCGGCCCCCUGGACAAAGACUGACGCUCAGGUGCGAAAGCGUGGGGAGCAAACAGGAUUAGAUACCCUGGUAGUCCACGCUGUAAACGAUGUCGACUUGGAGGUUGUUCCCUUGAGGAGUGGCUUCCGGAGCUAACGCGUUAAGUCGACCGCCUGGGGAGUACGGCCGCAAGGUUAAAACUCAAAUGAAUUGACGGGGGCCCGCACAAGCGGUGGAGCAUGUGGUUUAAUUCGAUGCAACGCGAAGAACCUUACCUACUCUUGACAUCCAGAGAACUUAGCAGAGAUGCUUUGGUGCCUUCGGGAACUCUGAGACAGGUGCUGCAUGGCUGUCGUCAGCUCGUGUUGUGAAAUGUUGGGUUAAGUCCCGCAACGAGCGCAACCCUUAUCCUUUGUUGCCAGCGGUCCGGCCGGGAACUCAAAGGAGACUGCCAGUGAUAAACUGGAGGAAGGUGGGGAUGACGUCAAGUCAUCAUGGCCCUUACGAGUAGGGCUACACACGUGCUACAAUGGCAUAUACAAAGAGAAGCGACCUCGCGAGAGCAAGCGGACCUCAUAAAGUAUGUCGUAGUCCGGAUUGGAGUCUGCAACUCGACUCCAUGAAGUCGGAAUCGCUAGUAAUCGUAGAUCAGAAUGCUACGGUGAAUACGUUCCCGGGCCUUGUACACACCGCCCGUCACACCAUGGGAGUGGGUUGCAAAAGAAGUAGGUAGCUUAACCUUCGGGAGGGCGCUUACCACUUUGUGAUUCAUGACUGGGGUGAAGUCGUAACAAGGUAACCGUAGGGGAACCUGCGGUUGGAUCACCUCCUUACCUGAAAGAA
rnacentral:rRNA from 1 species